rnacentral:rRNA from 1 species
UACGGAGGGUGCAAGCGUUAUCCGGAUUUACUGGGUUUAAAGGGUGCGUAGGUGGGCAGGUAAGUCAGUGGUGAAAUCUCCGGGCUUAACCCGGAAACUGCCAUUGAUACUAUCUGUCUUGAAUUUCCUGGAGGUAAGCGGAAUAUGUCAUGUAGCGGUGAAAUGCUUAGAUAUGACAUAGAACACCAAUUGCGAAGGCAGCUUACUACGGGCGAACAUUGACACUGAGGCACGAAAGCGUGGGGAUCAAACAGG